rnacentral:rRNA from 1 species
AGCAUCGGCUAACUCCGUGCCAGCAGCCGCGGUAAUACGGAGGAUGCAAGCGUUAUCCGGAUUUAUUGGGUUUAAAGGGUGCGCAGGCGGAUAGUUAAGUCAGCGGUGAAAUCUCACGGCUCAACCGUGGAACUGCCGUUGAUACUGGCUGUCUGGAGUACGGACGGCGCCGGCGGAAUGUGUCAUGUAGCGGUGAAAUGCUUAGAUAUGCCACAGAACACCGAUCGCGAAGGCAGCUGGCGAGGCCGGUACUGACGCUCAGGCACGAAAGCGUGGGGAUCAAACAGGAUUAGAUACCCUGGUAGUCCACGCAGUAAACGAUGGGGACUUGUUGUCGGCGAUAGAAUGUCGGUGACAAAGCGAAAGCGAUAAGUCCCCCACCUGGGGAGUACGAUCGCAAGGUUGAAACUCAAAGGAAUUGACGGGGGCCCGCACAAGCGGAGGAGCAUGUGGUUUAAUUCGAUGAUACGCGAGGAACCUUACCUGGACUCAAAUGCAGUCUGACCGGCGCAGAAAUGCGCCUUCCCUUCGGGGCGGAUUGCAAGGUGCUGCAUGGUUGUCGUCAGCUCGUGCCGUGAGGUGUCAGGUUAAGUCCUAUAACGAGCGCAACCCCUACGUCCAGUUGCCAGCGGGUGAAGCCGGGGACUCUGGAGGAACUGCCUACGCAAGUAGAGAGGAAGGUGGGGAUGACGUCAAAUCAGCACGGCCCUUACGUCCAGGGCGACACACGUGCUACAAUGGCCGGUACAGAGGGCAGCCACCCCGCGAGGGGGAGCGAAUCUCGAAAGCCGGUCUCAGUUCGGAUCGGAGUCUGCAACUCGACUCCGUGAAGUUGGAUUCGCUAGUAAUCGCGCAUCAGCCAUGGCGCGGUGAAUACGUUCC